rnacentral:rRNA from 1 species
GGGGAAUUUUCCGCAAUGGGCGCAAGCCUGACGGAGCAAUACCGCGUGGACGAGGAAGGUUUUUGGAUUGUAAAGUCCUUUUCUCAGGGAAGAUAAUGACGGUACCUGAGGAAUCAGCAUCGGCUAACUCCGUGCCAGCAGCCGCGGUAAGACGGAGGAUGCAAGCGUUAUCCGGAAUUAUUGGGCGUAAAGAGUACGUUGGCGGUUAUGCAAGUCUGAGGUUAAAGCCUGCAGCUUAACUGCGGACCAGCCUUGGAAACUGCGUGACUAGAGUGCGGUAGGGGUAGAGGGAAUUCCCGGUGUAGCGGCGAAAUGCGUAGAUAUCGGGAAGAACACCAGUGGCGAAGGCGCUCUGCUGGGCCGCAACUGACGCUGAGGUACGAAAGCUAGGGGAGCGAAAGGGAUUAGAUACCCCUGUAGUC